rnacentral:lncRNA from 1 species
CGGGUUUAUACUUAAAAAGAGCAGGGGCUCUUUAGAAAAAUUUCCAAGCGAAGGGGUAUCUUCAUUUGUGGGCUGUUGAUUCUCGAUCCGAAGGCCGAAAACCUAUCUGGGCGCUGGGUUGGCCGGCCGCCUGCCGGAACAGUGCUCCACGGUGGCGCCAUAGGAGUAUCUCACUGGAGAUCAUUGAUCCGAUGAUUCCGAGCGUCAAAACAUGAAAGGAAAACACCGAAGAGAGGAGAAGCUCACCAUAAACUCGCUUGAGUGCUUUAAUAGGGCCGAGGGGUGGUAGAACGGUCUCAGCGGUGACGGCUGAGGCUUGCUCGUUGGCGAGAUUUGAAACGCGGCAACACUCGUGGUUAGGGCUUGGGGCGGCGCAUUAGGGAAGUAACCGAGGGCGGUAGGGGACCCCCUUGCACUUUAUAGGACACCAGGGCUUCGAUCCGUGCCAAAACGCGUGAAAGUCGGGAUCCGUUGCCUUCCUAGACCGGUAUUUGGCUCGGUGCCGAACUGGGGAAGAAGGAAAGGUGGGAGGGGAGGCUGUCACAUGGGCCCGAGCUAUCGGUGGGAGAAGAUGGUGGGUCCGGUCGUCAGCGGUGGAAGAAGGGAGUGGAGGGGGAAGGCGCCUGCGCUCGGCUUGGGCCGCAGGUUGGGCCGGGACGGUUAGCUGGGCUGCGGGGGAGAGAGGAAGAUGCAAGCCGAGAGCAGGUGGCUCUCCAUUUCUCUUUUUUUUUCCUUUUCUAAUUUUCCAGAGCUUUUUUUUUCAAGUUUUGAAUUCUUUUAAUUCAAAAACAAAAACACACAUCACAAAAUAAACCAUGGCCAACAUGAAUGCAAAACAUGUUCCUAAACUUAUGAUAGAUUUUAAUUUCCACGAAAUUAUUUAUUUUCUAGAUUUCAAUGCUCACAUAAAUGCUUAAAUAAAUCCAAUUAAAUCCUAUUAAUUACACAAUAGCCUCCCUUUCCUUUUUUUUAUUUUUUUCCAAAGAGCUUAAACACCAAUUUUGAGACUUCUAUAAAACUUUUCAAGGCUUUGGGUAAAAAGAGAAAAUGUUUCCCAUAAAAUACUCUACAACUUUGUUUUAAGGUGGAAACCUAAAUUCCAAAUAGAAUUUGACUUACAAUUUGAAACUAGUUCUAGGUUUUAAAUAAAUUCAUUUUGGGGAUUUUUGUAUAAAAUCCAUUUCUCAAGUUCUAGAGCUCCAAAAAUUACACAAAAUUAUUCUUAAUUCAUCUAAAACAUAGCUUAACCUAAUUUGGUCAUCACAAGCAUUUUUAGAGCAAGCAUAUUAAUUUAGCACAAUUAAAUCUAUGUUAAUUAAACACAUAAAAUAACAUUCAACUUAUAUCAUGUUCGUAUGAUGUCAUGCUCAUGCCCAUGUUUGAUGAGAAUGCUUAUGAAUUAUUUAUGAGACUAAGUGCAUGCUUAACACCUAGGGUGUUAUAGCCCUUCCCCCUUAAGGAAAUCUCGUCCCGAGAUUUUGAGUUACUAACCAUUUCUUAUGAAAUUUUGGGUAAACUGUUUUUAGGUAAUCGUCGGUUUCCUAGGUGGCAUCUCUAUCAUUAUGAUGACUCGAGACAACUUUGUAGGUUUUUACCACUCUAUUCCUGGUUACUCGCUCCUUGGUAUCUAAUAUACCCACUGGUUGCUCCCUAUACUCUAAGUCUACUUUUAUCUUGAUCCCUCUAGGCUCAAUCCUUUGCUCAGGUACCUUCAGACACUUUCUUAGCUAGGAUACAUGGAAAACUGGAAAGAUAGAGCUUAAUUCUUUAGGUAACUAUAUCUUGUAGGCCACAAGGCCUUUCCAUUUUAUUAUCUGAUACGGUCCCACGUACCUUGGUGCAAGCUUACUUUGGACCCUAAAACAUUGAACUUUGUUCAUUGGUGUAAAUUUAAGGUAAACAUAGUCACCUACAGCAAACUCAAGUGGCCAUCUUCUCUUGUUAGUAUAGCUUUUCUGUCGUGAUUGUGCGGCUUUCAUGUGUUGCUGUAUGAUUUGUACCUUUUUCUCGGCGUCGUUCACGAAGUCAAUGCCAUAGU